UACGUAGGGUGCAAGCGUUAAUCGGAAUUACUGGGCGUAAAGCGUGCGCAGGCGGUGAUGUAAGACAGUUGUGAAAUCCCCGGGCUCAACCUGGGAACUGCAUCUGUGACUGCAUCGCUGGAGUACGGUAGAGGGGGAUGGAAUUCCGCGUGUAGCAGUGAAAUGCGUAGAUAUGCGGAGGAACACCGAUGGCGAAGGCAAUCCCCUGGACCACAACUGACGCUGAUGCACGAAAGCUAGGGGAGCAAACAGG
rnacentral:rRNA from 1 species